GUCAUAUUUCCGUUGAAAAACUGCUUCUCGUACGAUCCCCGAAGUUAAGCAAAGUAGAGCUUGGUCAGUACCUAGAUGGGUGAUUGCUUGGGAAUAUACGGUACUGUAA